rnacentral:rRNA from 1 species
AUUUUUUCCUGUAGCAAUACAGGGAAAAGUCUAGCGGCGAACGGGUGCUUAACACGUGGGCAAUCUGUCUUAAAGUGGGGGAUAGCUCGGCGAAAGCCGAAUUAAUACCGCAUGUGGUUAGAGUGGACAUCCAUUCAAAAUCAAAGGUGGCGCAAGCUACCGCUUUUUGAGGAGCCCGCGGCCUAUCAGCUAGUUGGUGAGGUAACGGCUCACCAAGGCUUUGACGGGUAGCUGGUCUGAGAGGACGACCAGCCACACUGGGACUGUGACACGGCCCAGACACCUACGGGUGGCAGCAGUCGAGAAUUUUUCUCAAUGGGGGAAACCCUGAAGGAGCGACGCCGCGUGGAGGAUGAAGGUCUUCGGAUUGUAAACUCCUGUCAUUGGGGAACAAGGUGCAUACGUUAACUGCGUGUGCAUUGAUAGUACCCGAAGAGGAAGAGACGGCUAACUCUGUGCCAGCAGCCGCGGUAAUACAGAGGUCUCAAGCGUUGUUCGGAUUCAUUGGGCGUAAAGGGUGCGUAGGCGGCGCGGUAAGUCGGGUGUGAAAUCUCGGGGCUUAACUCCGAAACUGCAUUCGAUACUGCCGUGCUUGAGGACUGGAGAGGAGACUGGAAUUUACGGUGUAGCGGUGAAAUGCGUAGAUAUCGUAAGGAAGACCAGUGGCGAAGGCGGGUCUCUGGACAGUUCCUGACGCUGAGGCACGAAGGCCAGGGGAGCAAACGGGAUUAGAUACCCCGGUAGUCCUGGCAGUAAACGGUGCACGUUUGGUGUGGGAGGAUUCGACCCCUUCUGCGCCGGAGCUAACGCGUUAAACGUG